rnacentral:rRNA from 1 species
UACAGAGGUCUCAAGCGUUGUUCGGAUUCAUUGGGCGUAAAGGGUGCGUAGGCGGCGCGGUAAGUCGGGUGUGAAAUCUCGGGGCUUAACUCCGAAACUGCAUUCGAUACUGCCGUGCUUGAGGACUGGAGGGGAGACUGGAAUUCAUGGUGUAGCAGUGAAAUGCGUAGAGAUCAUGAGGAAGACCAGUGGCGAAGGCGGGUCUCUGGACAGUUCCUGACACUGAGACACGAAGGCCAGGGGAGCAAACGGG